rnacentral:lncRNA from 10 species
AGAUGAAAUUUAGAAUCAAGUUCAAAACAAAAAACUCUUUGGAAUUUUGAUUGUGAUUUUGCUUAAAAUUAGAGAUUACUUUGGGGAGAAUAGUGGUCUUUGCAAUUUUGAAUCUUCCUACCCAAGAACAUGAAAAACAGGAUGAAGUUGUCUAUUACGAUCCAUGUGAAAGUCCAGAGGAACUUAGUCAUUGACUGUGGUGGGGCUGCAGGACGAUAAGAAUUCGGAAGUGAAAGAACUCAGAAGGCAGUGCCAGCAGCUGGAGUCUGUUAAACGGAGCAGUCUGUGUCAAAAGAGCUUCUCUCCAGAGUAGAAAGGUAGGUACGCUCAGAGCGGCUUUCUUUUCUUUUCUCUUCCAGAGAUUUAUUCUUGUAUGAAGGAUAAAGAGGUAUUGAAAUAAGGUUUUUACCAACACAGUGAUUAAUUUUUUGUGUGCUUAUGUACUUAUCCAUGGCUAUAGUUAAAAUGAUUUUUAAUAUUUUUCUUAAAAAUAUUAUUUUUUUCUUUUGGGUUUUAAGCAUUUAGCAAAUCUCAAGGUUUUAAUUUAUUCAUUUAACAACUAUUUGUUGAAUGCCCACUGCAUACACAGGCACUUUUAUUUUUAUUUUUUUGAGACAGAGUCUUGCCCUGUCACCCAGGCUGGAGUGUGGAGG